rnacentral:rRNA from 1 species
GACGAACCGAGCGAACGUUAUUCGGAAUCACUGGGCUUAAAGGGCGCGUAGGCGGGCCGUCAAGUCGAGGGUGAAAUCCCCCAGCUCAACUGGGGAAGUGCCUCCGAUACUGGCGGCCUCGAGGGGGAUAGGGGCAUGCGGAACUUCCGGUGGAGCGGUGAAAUGCGUAGAUAUCGGAAGGAACACCGGUGGCGAAAGCGGCGUGCUGGAUCCCUUCUGACGGCUGAGGCGCGAAAGCCAGGGGAGCGAACGGG